rnacentral:lncRNA from 1 species
CUCAUCCAGACCUGUCCAAGCAGCCUUUCUCUGAAUACUUGUUUCAAAGGCAGGCUUCUCAAAGAUGCAGGAAUACCAUUUAAUCUCUAGGUUGAAUAGACAGAAUUCAGUUAACAUUAGAGUAGUGAAUUCAGUUCAAGAAAAUACUUAAGCAGUAAAUUCCACUGAAAUCCUAGGGAAAGUUUGGACAUUGCCACUCCAGAGGGGAUUAGAUUUCACUUGCCUAAUUAACUUGAGGAUGAAGAUAUCAUCAGCAGCCAAGUUCUAAACAAGUACUUGCUCUUUGAUUCAGACCUUUAAAAAUUGUAUAUAUACAUUUCUUCCCCUCAGCAAUCCUUUCUUCAAAACAAGGAGAAGUUUUUUUUAAAGAUACUGCAUUCCAGGCCUACUUAACGAUCUUAUCAUAGCACUAAUUGCUAUGUACUAGUAAUGUAGCAGCUGAAUUUGUUGUUCCCUUCAACUCUGCAGGAAAUGUGAAAGUCUGUAAAAUAGCUGAUGUCUUCAGUAAUCAUCCACAUUCUGGCUAGCACUCAAGUGGACUGGGGAGACCUACUGAGGCAGGCCUAUGUUUGAGUAGGAUCCCUUUUCCUCUGUCUUGUAUCUCAGCCAAUUAUCAGGAAUGAGGACUUGUGCAUUAGUUAGUUGUUCUAUGUACAUCUAUUGAUAGCUCUCACUGUUGAGGGCUCACAGAGUAAUCUCAUCUUGGCAUUACAACCUCCCACUUCCUUUCUGAUAACUUUUGUUUUUUAAACAAUUUGCUUUAAAAUUGAUUCAAAUCUUUAUGAUUAAGGCCACCUUGGUCUUUUAUUGGCAGCUGCCCUAGGAAUCCAAGAAUUGGCCCAAGUAACCAUUUGCUAGAAAGGAAUAAAAGAGUCCCCUGAGGUGACUUGGGAAUCUCAAAACAAAUUUAUAAUUUUGAUGUGAGACCAAGAGAACUUAUCAACUCAAUUAAAAUUGCCCUAUGAUUAGCCUUCCCAUAGCCCUCUGAGUGGCCAGGUCCCAGAAAGGUCAAGCAGCCUCAAAGGAGCAUUUAAUAAAUAUUUUAGUUCCAAGAUAAUAUACAUUGCUGGAAAAGGGAAGAGAGCAAACCAGAGGCAAUAAGUAUAGCAUUCUAUUCUCUUUAGUGUCUUGGAAUCUUCAACAAAAGUUUGCCUUAUUUUGGCUAAGUAGAGAAAAUUUAUGAGCCAAGCGGGCAAUGGACAGCUGUCUAUGUAUUGUGAUUCAAUAGAAGGCUGGGCUGGGGCUCCGCCUCUAAAGUUAUAAUAUUUGCCUUCUUACUAUGGCAUCAUCUUUCUAUUGGGUUUUGGCUAGUGCACUCAAAUUGAGAACACAGCUUCACAGGCAGAACACAACACACAGAUGCAAGGUCUCCUGAUGGCAGAAAACCUUAUAACAGACGGGGUUACUCCGUGUUAGCCAGGAUGGUCUCGAUCUCCUGACCUCGUGAUCCACCUGCCUUGGCCUCCCAAAGUGCUGGGAUUCUGUAAUCCCAGUGAGCCACCGCGCCUGGCCCAUAAUCAACCUCAGCUGCCAACGCCAGAAUCAACCUCAGCUGCCAAAUGCUAGACUGAAAAAAGAAUGUAAACAGCUUGAUGGAGGGGAGGAUCCUGGUGCACCUGUGGUUUUGACAGCUUUUGCUGCUGCUUGAGGAGGAAACAGGUUGCCUGUUUGUUCUUCAAGAGCACUUCUGGCAUCCAGGUAUUAUGCAGGCAUGCACUGCCAGCUGUGAAAGAUGCCGCUUCCUUGUCACUUCAGAGAAUGAUGCUUCUACAGAAGAUCCCUCUUGCUAUUUCAUUCAGGGAGCUCGGGAGAGGAAGACAAAAAGAAUCAAAUGCAAAGCACAGAUCAUUGAAAGGGCCAGGGUCUGAAGUGAGACAACUCGUGUCACAGUGUUUUCAAACUUGAGAAUGGUACAGUAAAUUAGAAUGACUUAAUUGUAGUGAUUUUAAAAAGAUAUGAGUCCUCUAAUGGAUGGAUUAAAGAAAAGAAUAGCAAGAAAAUGCACAUAUACCAAAUUUUGACUGCCCGUGUGUUUAUACAGCCAAUGUUCUGUUCUGGUCAAGAAGAAAACAGAUGCUUCAGGUGACUACAGCCAGCUCCAGAGGUUCCAAAGAUCUUAAAGAUGUCCCAGAAAAGUUCUAGAGUACUAUCAGAUCUCACACUUUGCCUUGGAAGCUGUCAUUCCCCUCCAUUGGCCCCACAACUGCAGUAUAAUCUUCAGUGACAGGAGAAAAUCGACCUUGUUUGUACAGAAGUCUCAGCAGGAAUAGGCAGAUGCCUGUUUUUGCUGCCAAGGAUGGAGGAUUGGAAUGGGCCCAUUAUAUAUUUUGAGGCUUUGAAGAAAAGUCUCAGGAUAUGUUU